CCUACGGGAGGCAGCAGUGGGGAAUAUUGCACAAUGGGGGAAACCCUGAUGCAGCGACGCCGCGUGAGUGAAGAAGUAUCUCGGUAUGUAAAGCUCUGUCAGCAGGGAAGAAAAAGACGGUACCUGACCAAGAAGCCCCGGCGAACCACGGGCCAGCAGCCGCGGAAAUACGUAGGGGGGAAGCGUUAUCCGGAUUUACUGGGUGUAAAGGGGGAGUAAACGGGAGGGCAAGUCUCGAGGGAAAGGCGGGGGCUCAACCCCCGGACCGCUCUGGAAACUGCCAGGCUUGAGUGCAGGAGAGGUAAGUGGAAUUCCUAGUGUAGCGGUGAAAUGCGUAGAUAUUAGGAGGAACACCAGUGGCGAAGGCGGCUUACUGGACUGUAACUGACGUUGAGGCUCGAAAGCGUGGGGAGCAAACAGGAUUAGAUACCCCAGUAGUC
rnacentral:rRNA from 1 species